rnacentral:rRNA from 1 species
UCUACGGGUGGCAGCAGUGGGGAAUUUUGCGCAAUGGGGGAAACCCUGACGCAGCAACGCCGCGUGAGUGAUGAAGGCCUUCGGGUCGUAAAGCUCUGUCAGAGGGGAAGAAAUGCAGGGGUGCUAAUAUCAUCUUUGCUUGCCGGUACCCUCAACGGAAGCACCGGCUAACUCCGUGCCAGCAGCCGCGGUAAUACGGAGGGCGCGAGCGUUGUUCGGAAUUAUUGGGCGUAAAGCGCGUGUAGGCGGUUUGGUAAGUCUGAGGUGAAAGCCCCGGGCUCAACCUGGGAAGUGCAUUGGAAACUGUCAGACUUGAAUACGGGAGAGGGUAGUGGAAUUCCUAGUGUAGGAGUGAAAUCCGUAGAUAUUAGGAGGAACACCGGUGGCGAAGGCGGCUACCUGGACCGAUAUUGACGCUGAGACGCGAAAGCGUGGGGAGCAAACA